rnacentral:rRNA from 1 species
AUGAACGCUAGCUACAGGCUUAACACAUGCAAGUCGAGGGGCAGCAUGGUCUUAGCUUGCUAAGGCUGAUGGCGACCGGCGCACGGGUGAGUAACACGUAUCCAACCUGCCGUCUACUCUUGGACAGCCUUCUGAAAGGAAGAUUAAUACAAGAUGGCAUCAUGAGUCCGCAUGUUCACAUGAUUAAAGGUAUUCCGGUAGACGAUGGGGAUGCGUUCCAUUAGAUAGUAGGCGGGGUAACGGCCCACCUAGUCUUCGAUGGAUAGGGGUUCUGAGAGGAAGGUCCCCCACAUUGGAACUGAGACACGGUCCAAACUCCUACGGGAGGCAGCAGUGAGGAAUAUUGGUCAAUGGGCGAGAGCCUGAACCAGCCAAGUAGCGUGAAGGAUGACUGCCCUAUGGGUUGUAAACUUCUUUUAUAAAGGAAUAAAGUCGGGUAUGGAUACCCGUUUGCAUGUACUUUAUGAAUAAGGAUCGGCUAACUCCGUGCCAGCAGCCGCGGUAAUACGGAGGAUCCGAGCGUUAUCCGGAUUUAUUGGGUUUAAAGGGAGCGUAGAUGGAUGUUUAAGUCAGUUGUGAAAGUUUGCGGCUCAACCGUAAAAUUGCAGUUGAUACUGGAUAUCUUGAGUGCAGUUGAGGCAGGCGGAAUUCGUGGUGUAGCGGUGAAAUGCUUAGAUAUCACGAAGAACUCCGAUUGCGAAGGCAGCCUGCUAAGCUGCAACUGACAUUGAGGCUCGAAAGUGUGGGUAUCAAACAGGAUUAGAUACCCUGGUAGUCCACACGGUAAACGAUGAAUACUCGCUGUUUGCGAUAUACUGCAAGCGGCCAAGCGAAAGCGUUAAGUAUUCCACCUGGGGAGUACGUUCGCAAGAAUGAAACUCAAAGGAAUUGACGGGGACCCGCACAAGCGGUGGAGCAUGUGGUUUAAUUCGAAGCAACGCGAAGAACCUUACCAAGUCUUGACAUCCUGCGACGAUGCUGGAAACAGUAUUUUCCUUCGGGACGCAGAGACAGGUGGUGCAUGGUUGUCGUCAGCUCGUGCCGUGAGGUGUCGGCUUAAGUGCCAUAACGAGCGCAACCCUUGUUGUCAGUUACUAACAGGUUCCGCUGAGGACUCUGACAAGACUGCCAUCGUAAGAUGUGAGGAAGGUGGGGAUGACGUCAAAUCAGCACGGCCCUUACGUCCGGGGCUACACACGUGUUACAAUGGGGGGUACAGAGGGCCGCUACCACGCGAGUGGAUGCCAAUCCCCAAAACCUCUCUCAGUUCGGACUGGAGUCUGCAACCCGACUCCACGAAGCUGGAUUCGCUAGUAAUCGCGCAUCAGCCACGGCGCGGUGAAUACGUUCCCGGGCCUUGUACACACCGCCCGUCAAGCCAUGGGAGCCGGGGGUACCUGAAGUGCGUAACCGCGAGGAGCGCCCUAGGGUAAAACUGGUGACUGGGGCU